rnacentral:rRNA from 1 species
GCAGAGCAUCCUACGGGAGGCAGCAGGGGGGAAUAUUGCACAAUGGGCGCAAGCCUGAGUGCAGCCAUGCCGCGUGUAUGAAGAAGGCCUUCGGGUUGUAAAGUACUUUCAGCAGUGAGGAAGGUGGGUAUGUUAAUAGCAUAUUCAUUUGACGUUAGCUGCAGAAGAAGCACCGGCUAACUCCGUGCCAGCAGCCGCGGUAAUACGGAGGGUGCGAGCGUUAAUCGGAAUUACUGGGCGUAAAGCGCAUGCAGGUGGUUUGUUAAGUCAGAUGUGAAAGCCCGGGGCUCAACCUCGGAAUUGCAUUUGAAACUGGCAAACUAGAGUACUGUAGAGGGGGUAGAAUUUCAGGUGUAGCGGUGAAAUGCGUAGAGAUCUGAAGGAAUACCGGUGGCGAAGGCGGCCCCCUGGACAGAUACUGACACUCAGAUGCGAAAGCGUGGGGAGCAAACAGGAUUAGAUACCCUGGUAG